GACGAACGCUGGCGGCGUGCCUAAUACAUGCAAGUUGAGCGCUGAAGGUUGGUACUUGUACCGACUGGAUGAGCAGCGAACGGGUGAGUAACGCGUGGGGAAUCUGCCUUUGAGCGGGGGACAACAUUUGGAAACGAAUGCUAAUACCGCAUAAAACUUUAAACACAAGUUUUAAGUUUGAAAGAUGCAAUUGCAUCACUCAAAGAUGAUCCCGAGUUGUAUUAGCUAGUUGGUGAGGUAAAGGCUCACCAAGGCGAUGAUACAUAGCCGACCUGAGAGGGUGAUCGGCCACAUUGGGACUGAGACACGGCCCAAACUCCUACGGGAGGCAGCAGUAGGGAAUCUUCGGCAAUGGACGAAAGUCUGACCGAGCAACGCCGCGUGAGUGAAGAAGGUUUUCGGAUCGUAAAACUCUGUUGGUAGAGAAGAACGUUGGUGAGAGUGGAAAGCUCAUCAAGUGACGGUAACUACCCAGAAAGGGACGGCUAACUACGUGCCAGCCGCCGCGGUAA
rnacentral:rRNA from 1 species